UUUUUCUUCCGCCCAUCUUUGCGGCCGGCGGUGCUGAUGAUGGAGUUCAAUUGCUAGAGACCGCAGGCGAGCAUGCACACGGUGGCCGAGAACACUGGAAGUUGCAGGAAGAAGCGAGUGCUGCGGCUAUGGCUGGGGUUUUGGAUUAUCGCCCCUUAAAAGGCGGUUGCUAGCGGGAACGAAUCUCCUUAGUAAAAGAGGGCCUUUCCAGAACCGGGGGAAAGCAUGGCCUUCUGGACUUUUUCCUGGAAUUGACUGAAGCUGGACAUGGAUGAAAAGAAAAAGAGGUUAUCAAAGUGAACGGAAAAAUAGGCGAAUCUAGCUGCUUAGGUCAUCUAUACCGAAAACAUCUCUCUCGAAGCGCAGCCUGCAUAGCCCACGGUUUUAUCACGAAAUACAACAACUUCUGCUUAGACCGACCACCAACUAUGCAUACUCACUUCAACGCGUCCUCCACUGCAGCGUCUACCGCCCCUACCUACCUAACAAUCCAGUAGCAUCCAUUGCUGUCACCCGUCGUCGAUCUUCCCUUGUACCACUGAGUACCGCAAAUUUGAGAUUGAAUAAGGUUUCACUUAGAGCAUACUACGAACCUCACAAGCCUAGAACUAGAGGGAGGACAGACAGGGAUGAUAAUAGAAACUAUAAAAUGAAAGGAGGCACAGGCAGAUAGGCAAUUUGACGAAUAUUGACGGACUACAUUAGUCAGUAAAUGCAUCAG
rnacentral:sRNA from 1 species